rnacentral:rRNA from 1 species
UGUACUCGGUGUUACUGCGAAGGGGGGACGGAGAAGGCUAUGUUAGCCGGGCGACGGUUGUCCCGGUUUAAGCAUGUAGGCGGAACGAUUAGGUAAAUCCGGUCGUUUAUUCAACGCUGAGGUGUGAUGACGAGGCACUACGGUGCUGAAGUAACAAAUGCCCUGCUUCCAGGAAAAGCCUCUAAGCAUCAGGUAACAACGAAUCGUACCCCAAACCGACACAGGUGGUCAGGUAGAGA